rnacentral:misc_RNA from 1 species
GAUGAAGAACGUAGCGAAAUGCGAUAAGUAGUGUGAAUUGCAGAAUUCAGUGAAUCAUCGAAUCUUUGAACGCACAUUGCGCCCCUUGGUAUCCCGAGGGGCAUGCCUGUUCGAGCGUCAUUUCACCACUCAAGCCUGGCUUGGUGUUGGGCGACGUCCUCUUGGGGGACGCGCCUCGAAACGCUCGGCGGCGUGGCACCGGCUUUAAGCGUAGCAGAAUCUUUCGCUUUGGAAGUCGGGGCCCCGUCUGCCGGAAGACCUGCUCGCAAGGUUGACCUCGGAUCAGGCAGGGAUACCCGCUGAACUUAAGCAUAUCAAUAAGCGGAGGA